rnacentral:tRNA from 1 species
GCCUGCCUAGCUCAAUCGGAUAGAGCGUCAGACUCUUAUGAGUGCCAGGCAUCUGAAGGCUGCGAGUUCGACCCUCGCGGUGGGCU